GAUGAACGCUAGCUACAGGCUUAACACAUGCAAGUCGAGGGGCAGCAUGAUUGAAGCUUGCUUCAAUUGAUGGCGACCGGCGCACGGGUGAGUAACACGUAUCCAACCUUCCGUACACUCAGGGAUAGCCUUUCGAAAGAAAGAUUAAUACCUGAUGGUAUCUUAAGCACACAUGUAAUUAAGAUUAAAGAUUUAUCGGUGUACGAUGGGGAUGCGUUCCAUUAGGUAGUAGGCGGGGUAACGGCCCACCUAGCCUGCGAUGGAUAGGGGUUCUGAGAGGAAGGUCCCCCACAUUGGAACUGAGACACGGUCCAAACUCCUACGGGAGGCAGCAGUGAGGAAUAUUGGUCAAUGGGCGAGAGCCUGAACCAGCCAAGUAGCGUGAAGGAUGAAGGUCCUACGGAUUGUAAACUGCUUUUAUAAGGGAAUAAAGUGAGUCUCGUGAGACUUUUUGCAUGUACCUUAUGAAUAAGGACCGGCUAAUUCCGUGCCAGCAGCCG
rnacentral:rRNA from 1 species